rnacentral:rRNA from 1 species
GACGAACGCUGGCGGCGUGCCUAAUACAUGCAAGUUAAGCGCUGAAGGUUGGUACUUGUACCAACUGGAUGAGCAGCGAACGGGUGAGUAACGCGUGGGGAAUCUGCCUUUGAGCGGGGGACAACAUUUGGAAACGAAUGCUAAUACCGCAUAAAAACUUUAAACACAAGUUUUAAGUUUGAAAGAUGCAAUUGCAUCACUCAAAGAUGAUCCCGCGUUGUAUUAGCUAGUUGGUGAGGUAAAGGCUCACCAAGGCGAUGAUACAUAGCCGACCUGAGAGGGUGAUCGGCCACAUUGGGACUGAGACACGGCCCAAACUCCUACGGGAGGCAGCAGUAGGGAAUCUUCGGCAAUAGACGAAAGUCUGACCGAGCAACGCCGCGUGAGUGAAGAAGGUUUUCGGAUCGUAAAACUCUGUUGGUAGAGAAGAACGUUGGUGAGAGUGGAAAGCUCAUCAAGUGACGGUAACUACCCAGAAAGGGACGGCUAACUACGUG